rnacentral:lncRNA from 1 species
CUGGGGGUGGGGAGGACUCUAGAUCUAUUUGAAUCUACUCCGGAAGUGGAAGAGUACGAAAAAAAAAAGAAAGAAAGAAAGAAAGAAAGAAAGAAAGAAAGAAAGAAAGAAAGAAAGAAAGAAAGAAAGAAAGAAAGAAAGAAAGAAACAACCAGAGGCGCAGAAAGAAGAAAGCUCUCCCGGCGAGUGAAAGAAGGUGACCGAGCCAGAAGGAGAGAGCACAGAUGACUUGGUGAUGGUAUGGUAUGGUCCUCCUUCUCAUCACUUCUUAGGCAUGGAGAGAUGAAGGACAGAUGGAGUACCGCACAAGGAUACAAUGGAGGAAGCAGGCCAUGACUAAGACCCCAAGGAUGAAGAAUGGAGAGCCCUGACCGUCCUCCUGGCCUCCAGUCAUUUCCCCACUGAAGAUGGCCGUACCCUCUAG